GGGCCCGCACAAGCGGUGGAGCAUGUGGUUUAAUUCGAUGAUACGCGAGGAACCUUACCAGGGCUUAAAUGGGAAAUGACAGGGGUGGAAACACCCCCUCCUUCGGGCAGAUUACAAGGUGCUGCAUGGUUGUCGUCAGCUCGUGCCGUGAGGUGUCAGGUUAAGUCCUAUAACGAGCGCAACCCCUGCCGUUAGUUGCCAGCAUGUAAUGAUGGGAACUCUAACGGGACUGCCGGUGCAAACCGCGAGGAAGGUGGGGAUGACGUCAAAUCAUCACGGCCCUUACGUCCUGGGCUACACACGUGCUACAAUGGCCGGUACAGAGGGCAGCCACACCGCAAGGUGGAGCGAAUCCUUAAAACCGGUCUCAGUUCGGAUCGGGGUCUGCAACUCGGCCCCGUG
rnacentral:rRNA from 1 species